rnacentral:rRNA from 1 species
AACGAACGCUGGCGGCAGGCUUAACACAUGCAAGUCGAGCGCAGGAAACUGACGGAACUCUUCGGAGGGAAGGCAGUGGAAUGAGCGGCGGACGGGUGAGUAACACGUAAGGAACCUGCCUCAAGGAUUGGGACAACUCCGAGAAAUCGGAGCUAAUACCGGAUAGUUCAACGGACCGCAUGGUCCGCUGAUGAAAGGCGCUCCGGCGUCACCUUGAGAUGGCCUUGCGGUGCAUUAGCUAGUUGGUGGGGUAACGGCCCACCAAGGCGACGAUGCAUAGCGGACCUGAGAGGGUGAUGGGCCAGACUGGGACUGAGACACGGCCCAGACUCCUACGGGAGGCAGCAGUAGGGAAUCUUCCACAAUGGACGAAAGUCUGAUGGAGCAACGCCGCGUGAGUGAUGAAGGUUUUCGGAUCGUAAAACUCUGUUGUAAGGGAAGAACACGUACGAGAGGGAAUGCUCGUACCUUGACGGUACCUUACGAGAAAGCCACGGCUAACUACGUGCCAGCCGCCGCAGUAAUAC